GACGAACGCUGGCGGCGUGCUUAACACAUGCAAGUCGAACGGAACGGCCCUGCUUUUGUGGGGUGCUCGACUGGCGAACGGGUGAGCAACACGUGAGUAACCUGUCCCUCACUUUGGGGUAACCUCAGGACACUUGGGCUAAUCGCGCAUAGGAUUUCUCGCUGCUUGGUGGGGGUGGGAUAGUUUCGGCGGUUGGUGGUGGACUAGCGGCCUAUCGGCUUGGUGGUGGGGUAGUGGCAUACCAAGGCUUUGACGGGUAGCAGGCCUGCGAGGGUGACCGGCCACAUUGCGACUGGACUACGGCCCGGACUCCUACGGGAGGGAACGGUGGGGAGUGUUGCACAGUGGGCGGAGGCAUGGUGUGGCCCCGCCGCGUGCGGGGUGACGGCCUGCGGGUUGUGAACCACUGUCGCCUGUGCCGGGGCGAUAGUGACGGUACCGGGUAAAGAAGCACCGGCUAACUACGUG
rnacentral:rRNA from 1 species